AUGUCUACAACACCAGAGAUAUGUCAAGUAGUGUGUUCAGCAGCUGCUGCAGCUCAAGCCGAUGAGCAUUACGAUCCAUCGAAGGAUCCUGCAAGGAAGCCGCGUAGGAGCAAGGAUCCAGCAUGGAAAUAUUCCUUUUGGCCUGAUUUGCAGGACAAAUUGACACUCCAGUGUGUUUUGUGUGGCAAAAACAUCACUUCUGGAGUGCUAAGGAUGAAGAAGCACCUUGGUGGGGGUUACACAGAGGUGAAAAUGUGUCUAAAAGCAACCGAUGAGAUCAGGAAAGAGAUGCAUUUGUACAUGAAGACCAACUCAACCAAGUUCAAAGCCAUGCAACUUGAUGGGGAUGAAGUUGAAGCAACUGAUGGAGAUGGAGGAGAGGAGGAGGUAGAAGCAAGUUCAAGGGCGUCGAAUAGCACCGCAGCCUCCACGAAAAUGAAGGCUUCUUUUAUUGUGACGGCGCCGGUGGCGGCAAAGAGGACAAGCAAGUCAAUUGCAGAUGAGGUUAGGAAGACACCAGAGGAGGUGGUUGCUGAGAGGCAUAGAGCAGGAAGCAAGCAGUUAAAAAUCAAGCAUUAUGGAACAAAGACAAAAGAACAAAAAGAUGAAGUAGAUGGUCAUGUAGCUGACUUUCUCUAUGAGAAUUGCCUUCCACUCAAUAUUAUCAAUUCGAGAAGUUGGGAGAUCCUAUUGGAGUCUGUAGGACAGUAUGGUUCAGAUUAUAUCACACCUUCUUACCAUGAUGUGAGGGUACCAUUACUUGAGAAGGCAAAGCUCAAGACUGACACUUUGAAGGCCAAGCAUCAAAAGGCAUGGAAGGAGUAUGGUUGCACUCUCAUGUCGGACGGUUGGACGGACAUGAGUGGGCGACACUUGAUCAAUUUUCUCGCCAAUAGUCCUGAAGGUACAUUCUUCUUAGGGACAGCCAAUGUUUCUUCUGAGUCUGUUACUGCUGAAUUGGUAGCAAAAUUAUUGAGUGAACAGAUUGAGGCAAUUGGACCUGAAUUGGUAAUCCAGGUCGUUAGCGACAAUGGCUCCAACUACAAGGCAGCCGGGAGACUUCUAAUGGAUAAGUAUCCAUCUUUGUAUUGGACACCUUGUGCUGCUCACUGUUUGGAUCUUAUGCUAGAGGACAUUGGGAAGAUAAGAGAGUUCAGUGAUUGCAUUGCUAAAGCAAAGAAAACAACCAGAUUUAUUUAUGCCCAUGGUAGGAUUCUUGAUCAAAUGAGAACCUUGAAUGGCCAGAGAGAUCUUGUAAGGCCUGGAGCAACUCGUUUUGCAACCUCCUUCCUCACAUUGGCCAGCAUGUGGAAACAACGCCAACAUUUGAAAGCACUAUUUGUUAGCACAGAAUGGCAUGCAAACAAGUUGAAGCUCACCCCACCAGGGAAGAUGGCUGAAAAUACCGUGCUCUCUGUGACGUUUUGGCAAUCGGUGGAGAACUGCAUGAGAGCUUCACAACCCAUUCUUGUUGCUUUGAGGAUUGUUGAUGGUGAUGACAGUCCAGCAAUGCCUGAAAUUUGGGCAGCCAUGGAUGUUGCGAAGACACACAUAAAGGAUGCAUUGUCACAAAGGCCAGGCCUACAAAGUCAAGUGCUAGCAAUUGUUGACAAGAGGUGGGAUCACCAGAUGGAGCAAAAGCUACAUGGGGCUGCAAUGUUUUUGAACCCCAGCAAGUUCUUUCAAAUGAAGGAGACUAACAAAAGACUAGCUGCACGGCUGCGUUCAAUGUUCAAUGAUGUGCUAUGGAAGAUGGUGCCGGAUGAUGAACUACAAUCCAAGAUAAGUAAAUUGGCUGAUGAUUAUGAGCUCACGGAGGGUGAAUGUUUCACCAAGCAAAUGGCAAUUAAAGACCGCGAGAAAAAGAGUCCUCUACUUUGGUGGAAUGCAUAUGGUGGCCUUGCUUAUGACCUCCAAUUUUUUGCAAAACGGAUCAUUAGUCUAUGUUGUUCAUCGUCUGGCUGUGAGCGCAAUUGGAGUGCAUUUUCUCAUAUCCAUACCAAAGGAGAAACCGUUUGGAGUAUAAGAGAUUGA
rnacentral:rRNA from 1 species